rnacentral:lncRNA from 1 species
UCAUCGCUUUCUCGAGCAAACCUUUCAUCACCACCACCUUCAGUAUUCACUCUUGACUUCACCAUCUGCUUUCGGUUGCCGUAAAACAAACUCUCCAGGUGAUGUUUCUUCUUGUCUUUGAAACUCAGAUAAGCUAUAUUAGCAGAUAUUAUUUGAUUUUCCAUUUCUAGGAAUGUUUCUGAAGGUAUCAAAUCCAACCCAUAUGCUUGAUGUGUGAUUUUAAUCGAAAGAUAAGCUCCAUACAUUGUGUUUGGUGAUAACAUAUUGCUUCAAUCUCCAAACGGCUAAUCAUUCUUAGUUCGGCCGCCUCUAAAAACCUGGAAGCAAAAUGUGUUUGUUUUACUAAUUUCGAAAUAAAAUAAAUGUAAGUUAAAUAAGCAAGAUUAAGGGGACUACCUUGCCAUCAAGUUUCGGUUUAUAAUCUUGUAAUAUAUUAAAGAUUAAAAAAUAAUAAAAUAAAGCAAACAUAAAGCCUGAAAGCAUAUUAUGCAUAAGUAAAAAUCAACCUUGAUUUUAGUGAGGGUUUCCAUCUCCAAUUCUCUGGAUUAUCGCUCCAUGUAAUUGAAAGCUCCCUUGCAGACAAUACGUAGGAUUUUUUUCCAGAUGAUUUAUCCACCUUGAAGCUCUGCAUUAAAUGCAUUUAUAAUUAAAAUAUGCAAUAUAUGAUAAAAAAAUUUAACCCUCCGACAAGAGAGCUGUUGAUCGUCGGUCUGGAUUUUAAAGAUUGCGAAGUUCUGCAAAAGAUAUUAAGUAGUGGCUACAGGAUUGAAGAACCUUUCUACCAUUGGCUAUGAGAGUAGGGUUACAAAGACGAAGAUAAAGCUCUUUCUUUGACGAGAACUUCAAAGAAGUG